CCAUGGCGGCGUGCAGAUUCUUGUCGUCUUCGCGUCCGUGGCUGACCUGGGACGCCGCGGAAGACCCUCCAUAGCUCUCGGCCUGCUGGCGGGAUGACUGCGUCUCGUACUGUCGGUUGUUAAAAAAUGUUGCUUGCUUUCCUGCCGAGGGCUCAGUCGCCCUAAUGUGUGCAGCAGACUAACGCUGUGGUUAGAGCAGUUCAAGAUGUGCCCAAGGGCCUCGCUCCCCACCCCGGACCUCCGGCCCAGAAAUCUUUAGCAAGGAGACCAAACCAUGUGGACCCACUGGGAUUGGAAUAAAAUACAAGUCUGAUGCAGUCCCCCGCUGUGAUCUUGACAAGAAUGUGUGCUGCUUUCCUUCUCUAGGGCGUUUGCCUGCUGGAAAUUGGGCUGAGAGGACAUGUUGGAGACUUCGGAAAGCUGGCUGCUCUGCUUGUGGUGUGAACUUGGUGUUGAAUGCCCAGCAGUGGCCCAGUUGAGGUAAGAGGUGGGCUGGACACACUAGAGCAUGCUCGGGUGGGAUGCGUGCAGCUGCCCUGACGAUGCUGUCCUAGAUCUGUCAGCACUACAGGCAUAGCGCAGCUACUCGGCUGUGCCUGUAACAUCAGGGCAAAGAGCAAGUGGCUAUUUCUACGCUCAGUGUUCAGAAGCCAGUGAGCACUAAGAAUGGUUUAUAGCCUGACAUUUUGCAGAGCCGUGGUGAGGUGGUGCUGGGGUGUAGCUUUG